rnacentral:snRNA from 1 species
GGACGUGAGGGCAUCCUGGCUGUGACGUGUCGUCCCAAUGGUCACCAGGGCUUAUUUGGCUGAUCUGACUGGAUAGGUGGGUGUCCCUUUCCUCCUUCACUGCUCCAUGUAUGCCUUCUGAAGUUGCUCACUCUGUCAAAAGAGAAUGUCCUUCCCUCAUAGAAGAGUACUGUUCUUCGGUCAAGGGCAUAAGAGUAGCUAUGCUCCCCGGCUAGAACCAUCAAACCAGCUCUUAAGGUCUACUAGUGAAAUGUUGUAGUCAUGCUUCCAGAAACUCCAGAGAGACCCAAACAAGAUGUUACAUGUAGCAGUCUGCCUUUGUUU